rnacentral:rRNA from 1 species
UACGUAGGCAGCGAGCGUUGCUCGGAGUUACUGGGCGUAAAGGGUGUGUAGGCGGUUCUUUUAAGUUUGGUGUGAAAUCCUCCCGGCUCAACCGGGAGGGUGCGCCGAAUACUGAGGGACUAGAGUGCGGGAGAGGAAAGUGGAAUUCCUGGUGUAGCGGUGAAAUGCGUAGAUAUCAGGAGGAACACCGGUGGUGUAGACGGCUUUCUGGACCGUAACUGACGCUGAGACACGAAAGCGUGGGUAGCAAACAGG